UUUCCAUACUUUUGAGUUAUUCAUAUAUUUUUGCUUGCAUGAGUGGUCACUGGGUGUAGUAAUACUACUGGAGAAAACCUGUUUAACAGGUAUUAUUUAUUUUUAAAUCAACUUGCGUAGUGGUUUGAAGAGUGAGGUUAGAUGUAUUCUGGGCGACAAGCUGUGUGGACGUGUCCGUACUCUUGCUGAGAUAUCUUGGGUGUUUCCCAUGCUGUGUGAUCUUGGGAACGGCAUCCCUGUGUGGGCUUAUUUGUGUGAGAGAGAUACAACCCAGUGACCACGGAGUGGGCACGUGCACGUGGUGGACCAUGUUAUAUCCGUGCAAGGCCUAAUGGUGGGACAGUUAAUAUCCGAACCAAAAACUUAUACUUUCCCAGUCCUACGGAACUUACCUUAUGUGAUACGUCUUGUCGAAUGCCAUCUAGUCCAUCCAAUAGAACUGAAGUCAACAACCACCUAUUUAUUGUAUAUUUGUAAAUAAAUUGUUUUUGUUUUGU
rnacentral:sRNA from 1 species